UACGGGGGGGGCAAGCGUUGUUCGGAAUUACUGGGCGUAAAGGGCGCGUAGGCGGUUCUUCAAGUCAGAUGUGAAAUCUCCGGGCUUAACCCGGAAAAGUCAUUUGAUACUGUUGGACUAGAGUGUGGAAGAGGCUAUCGGAAUUCCGUGUGUAGCGGUGAAAUGCGUAGAUAUACGGAGGAACACCAGCGGCGAAGGCGGAUAGCUGGGCCAACACUGACGCUGAAGCGCGAAAGCCAGGGUAGCAAACGGG
rnacentral:rRNA from 1 species